rnacentral:misc_RNA from 1 species
AGCAGCCGCGGUAAUUCCGGCUCCAAUAGCGUAUAUUAAAGUUGUUGCAGUUAAAAGGCUCGUAGUUGAAUUUCGGGAUCAAAGGAUCGGUCAUGCCUUGGUAUGUACUGGUUUUAUUGGUUCUCACCUUCUAAAGAACCAUAAUGUCAUUCAUUUGAUGUUAUGGGGAAUUAGGACUGUUACCUUGAAAAAAUUAGAGUGUUUAAAGCAGGCUUACGCUUGAAUACACUAGCAUGGAAUAAUGAAAUAGGACGUUCGAUCCUAUUUUGUUGGUUUCUAGGAUUGACGUAAUGAUUAAUAGGGAUAGUUGGGGGCAUUAGUAUUCAAUUGUCAGAGGUGAAAUUCUUGGAUUUAUUGAAGACUAACUACUGCGAAAGCAUUUGCCAAGGAUGUUUUCAUUAAUCAAGAACGAAAGUUAGGGGAUCGAAGACGAUCAGAUACCGUCGUAGUCUUAACCAUAAACUAUGCCGACUAGGGAUCGGAUGAUGUUAAUUUUUUAAUGACUCAUUCGGCGCCUUAC